rnacentral:rRNA from 1 species
AUUGAACGCUGGCGGCAGGCUUAACACAUGCAAGUCGAGCGGAGAUGAGGUGCUUGCACCUUAUCUUAGCGGCGGACGGGUGAGUAAUGCUUAGGAAUCUGCCUAUUAGUGGGGGACAACAUUCCGAAAGGAAUGCUAAUACCGCAUACGUCCUACGGGAGAAAGCAGGGGAUCUUCGGACCUUGCGCUAAUAGAUGAACCUAAGUCGGAUUAGCUAGUUGGUGGGGUAAAGGCCUACCAAGGCGACGAUCUGUAGCGGGUCUGAGAGGAUGAUCCGCCACACUGGGACUGAGACACGGCCCAGACUCCUACGGGAGGCAGCAGUGGGGAAUAUUGGACAAUGGGGGGAACCCUGAUCCAGCAAUGCCGCGUGUGUGAAGAAGGCCUUAUGGUUGUAAAGCACUUUAAGCGAGGAGGAGGCUACUGAGACUAAUACUCUUGGAUAGUGGACGUUACUCGCAGAAUAAGCACCGGCUAACUCUGUGCCAGCAGCCGCCGUAAAAC